CUCAGGAAACGCUGGCGCCGUGCUUUUAAUAGCAAGUCGAACGGAAAGGCCUGCAGCUUGCUGCGGGUACUCGAGUGGCGAACGGGUGAGUAACACGUGGGUGAUCUGCCUUGCACUUCGGGAUAAGCUUGGGAAACUGGGUCUAAUACCGGAUAGGACAGCUGUUUAGUGUCAGUUGUGGAAAGUUUUUUCGGUGCAAGAUGAGCUCGCGGCCUAUCAGCUUGUUGGUGGGGUAAUGGCCUACCAAGGCGUCGACGGGUAGCCGGCCUGGGAGGGUGUACGGCCACAUUGGGACUGAGAUACGGCCCAGACUCCUACGGGAGGCAGCAGUGGGGAAUAUUGCACAAUGGGCGGAAGCCUGAUGCAGCGACGCCGCGUGGGGGAUGAAGGCCUUCGGGUUGUAAACUCCUUUCGACAGGGACGAAGCGUAAGUGACGGUACCUGUAUAAGAAGCACCGGCUAACUACGUGCCAGCAGCCGCGGUAAUACGUAGGGUGCGAGCGUUGUCCGGAAUUACUGGGCGUAAAGAGCUCGUAGGUGGUUGUCGCGUCGUCUGUGAAAUUCCGGGGCUUAACUCCGGGCGUGCAGGCGAUACGGGCUGACUUGAGUG
rnacentral:rRNA from 1 species